rnacentral:rRNA from 1 species
AUUGAACGCUGGCGGCAUGCUUUACACAUGCAAGUCGAACGGCAGCGCGGGCUUCGGCCUGGCGGCGAGUGGCGAACGGGUGAGUAAUACAUCGGAACGUGCCCAGUAGUGGGGGAUAGCUCGGCGAAAGCCGGAUUAAUACCGCAUACGACCUGAUGGUGAAAGCGGGGGAUCUUCGGACCUCGCGCUAUUGGAGCGUCCGAUGGCAGAUUAGCUAGUUGGUGGGGUAAAGGCCUACCAAGGCGACGAUCUGUAGCUGGUCUGAGAGGACGACCAGCCACACUGGGACUGAGACACGGACCAGACUCCUACGGGAGGCAGCAGUGGGGAAUUUUGGACAAUGGGCGAAAGCCUGAUCCAGCAAUGCCGCGUGUGUGAUGAAGGCGUUCGGGUUGUAAAGAACUUUUGGCGGGAACGAAAAGGACUGUGCCAAUACCACGGUUCGAUGACGGUACCCGCAGAAUAAGCACCGGCUAACUACGUG